UACAGAGGGUGCAAGCGUUUAAUCGGAAUUACUGGGCGUAAAGCGUGCGUAGACGGUUGCGUAAGUCAGAUGUGAAAGCCCCGGGCUCAACCUGGGAAUUGCAUUUGAGACUGCGUAGCUAGGGUGCGGAAGAGGGAAGCGGAAUUUCCGGUGUAGCGGUGAAAUGCGUAGAUAUCGGAAGGAACACCAGUGGCGAAAGCGGCUUCCUGGUCCAGCACCGACGUCAGGCACGAAAGCGUGGGGAGCAAACAGG
rnacentral:rRNA from 1 species